CCUUCGAUAGCUCAGUUGGUAGAGCGGAGGACUGUAGAUCCUUAGGUCGCUGGUUCAAUUCCGGCUCGAAAUCUGGA